AUGAUGAAAGGACCCCCCCAGCAGGACCCAGCCCAGAGCAGCCCCCCUUCCACCUUCAUCCUCCUCGUCUUCUUCCUCGCAGCCCUCCCAGGGCUGCGGGCGGCCGUGCAACUGGUCGAGUCCGGAGGGGGCCUCCAGCCCCCCGGGGGGUCCCUGCGCCUCCUCUGCAAGGGCUCCGGCUUCACCUUCAGCAGCUUCGACAUGAACUGGAUCCGACAGGCGCCCGGGAAGGGGCUCGAGUGGGUCGCGGGUAUUACCAGCAGUGGUAGCACCUGGUACGCGUCGUCGGUCCAAGGACGCUUCACCAUCUCGAAGGACAACUCCCAGAGCACGGUCACGCUGCAGAUGAACAGCCUCAGGGCCGACGACACGGCCACCUACUACUGCGGGAAAUAUAAUGACAAUGCUGAUGGCCCUGACCUCGGCACCGAGCCAUCAGCAUCCCAGCGCUGUGUCCUGAAAUCCCGACCCUCGCCCUGA